rnacentral:rRNA from 2 species
UCGAUUAGAUACCCCUGUAGUCCUAGCCGUAAACGAUACUCGCUAGGUGUCGGCCACGGUGCGACCGUUGUCGGUGCCGUAGGGAAGCCGUGAAGCGAGCCACCUGGGAAGUACGGCCGCAAGGCUGAAACUUAAAGGAAUUGGCGGGGGAGCACCACAACGGGUGGAGCUUGCGGUUUAAUUGGAUUCAACGCCGGAAAUCUUACCGGGACCGACAGCAAUAUGAAGGCCAGGCUGAAGACUUUGCCGGAUUAGCUGAGAGGUGGUGCAUGGCA